GGAGGGGGGGCUAGCGUUAUUCGGGAAUUAUUGGGCGUAAAGGGUGCGUAGGCGGUUUGGGUAAGUUGGAUGUGAAAUCCUUGAGCUCAACUUGAGAAUUGCGUUCAAAACUGCCAAACUCGAAUGUGAGAGAGGGCAAUGGAAUUCCUGGUGUAGGGGUGAAAUCCGUAGAUAUCAGGAGGAACAUCUGGGGCGAAAGCGAUUGCCUGGAUCACUAUUGACGCUGAGGCACGAAAGCGUGGGGAGCAAACAAGAUUAGAUACCUUGGUAGUCCACGCUGUAAACGAUGAGUGCUAGAAGUCGGGUGUAAGUUCGGUUUCGUAGCUAACGCGUUAAGCACUCCGCCUGGGGACUACGGUCGCAAGACUA
rnacentral:rRNA from 1 species